rnacentral:rRNA from 1 species
GAUGAACGCUGGCGGCGUGCCUAAUACAUGCAAGUCGAGCGAACGGACGAGACGCUUUCUUCUCUGAUUUUAGCGGCGGACGGGUGAGUAACACGUGGAUAACCUACCUAUAAGACUGGGAUAACUUCGUGAAACCGGAGCUAAUACCGGAUAAUAUUUUGAACCGCAUGGUUCAAAAGUGAAAGACGGUCUUGCUGUCACUUAUAGAUGGAUCCGCGCUGCAUUAGCUAGUUGGUAAGGUAACGGCUUACCAAGGCAACGAUGCAUAGCCGACCUGAGAGGGUGAUCGGCCACACUGGAACUGAGACACGGUCCAGACUCCUACGGGAGGCAGCAGUAGGGAAUCUUCCGCAAUGGGCGAAAGCCUGACGGAGCAACGCCGCGUGAGUGAUGAAGGUCUUCGGAUCGUAAAACUCUGUUAGUAGGGAAGAACAGAUGUGUAAGUAACUGUGCACAUCUUGACGGUACCUAAUCAGAAAGCCACGGCUAACUACGUG